GGCAGUGGUGGCUCAGCGGUUAAGGCUGUGGGUUACAGAUCAGACAGUUGAGGGUUCAAUCCCCAACAAUGCCA